rnacentral:rRNA from 1 species
AGUGAACGCUGGCGGCAGGCCUAACACAUGCAAGUCAAACGGCAGCACAGAGGAGCUUGCUCCUUGGGUGGCGAGUGGCGGACGGGUGAGGAAUGCAUCGGAAUCUGCCUAUUUGUGGGGGAUAACGUAGGGAAACUUACGCUAAUACCGCAUACGACCUACGGGUGAAAGUGGGGGACCUUCGGGCCUCACGCAGAUAG